GGCUCGGGGCGCGUGCGCGACCGGGAGCUCCGGGCUAGGCACUGCGGGACGCAGGCGCGGCUGCGGCUUCCUUGUUCGGUCUCGAGUGGGGGCCGGCGGACGCGGGUGGAGUUAGCUCCGGGUGUUGGCCACGCUCUCACGUCGCCAGACCGCAGGAGACGGGGGCCCUACGUUCAGCUCCCUCACCUCAGCUGCUCCAGCUGCCCCAGAAGAUACCGACGGUCAGAGAGGCUGAAUCACCGGCCCAAGAUCUUUUUGAAGAGAUGAACUUGACGGCUUGCUUUUCCCUCCUCCCGGUUCACUUCCUUCUUCCCACCCAAGGGCGAACAGUGAAUCAAAAACAGGAAGGAGCUGCGGGCUGCUCUGGAAGGGGGCUUGGAAGCUUUCUGUUCAGGACCACACAGUAAAUGUUUUCGGCUCUGAAGGUCCGUGGCAAUGACUCUGUGCUGUUAUAAUCGGAAAGCACCAGAGUUUAUAUGGAAACGAAUAGCUGUGACUAUCAACUUUAUUUACAGCCACACCAAUGUGACUGUCAUAUAAUUUCCAUGUGUCUCAAAAUACUUUGAUUUUCAUUCAACCAUUUAAAGAUGUAAAAAAAAAAUUCUUAGCUCACGUACAUCCUUGCCUGCUUAGUCACUCAGUUGUAUUCGACUCUUUAUGAUCCCAUGGACUGUACCCCACCAGGCUCCUCUGUCCAUGGGAUUUCCCAGGCAAGACUACUGGAGUGGGUUGCCAUUCCCUUCUCUAGAGGAUCUUCCCCAUCAGGGAUCAAACCUGCAUCUCCUGUGUCUCCUGCAUUGGCAGGCAGAUUCUUUAUCUACUGACGCUAUAACAAAACCACAGAAAGGGGAUGUGACCCGCAGGCCAGAGUUUGCCAACUGUAUAACAUUGGACUGUUUUGUUCAACUGUGUCACCUUUC